AAAAUGUUAAGCGAAAUCGUAUAGAAACGCUUCGCAAGUGGUUGUGUUAAUAUACUAGGAUGUAAGAUUGAAGUUUUGUCGGAUAACUCAAACUUAGUCGAUACUUCUAUUGUUUUCUACUUUUUUUUUAGUAUUUGCUGAAUUUAGGUAAUAAUUUUUAAAAGCCUAAUAUCAUUCGUGAUUUGUAAACUGGUUUAGAAAACCCGACAAAUAA